UUGACGGUACCGUAAGAAUAAGGACCGGCUAACUCCGUGCCAGCAGCCGCGGUAAUACGGAGGGUCCGAGCGUUAUCCGGAAUCAUUGGGUUUAAAGGGUCCGCAGGCGGACGUAUAAGUCAGUGGUGAAAGCCCAUCGCUUAACGAUGGAACUGCCAUUGAUACUGUAUGUCUUGAAUUCGGUCGAAGUGGGCGGAAUAUGUCAUGUAGCGGUGAAAUGCUUAGAUAUGACAUAGAACACCGAUAGCGAAGGCAGCUCACUAGGCCUGGAUUGACGCUCAGGGACGAAAGCGUGGGGAGCGAACAGGAUUAGAUACCCUGGUAGUCCACGCCGUAAACGAUGGAUACUAGCUGUGCGGA
rnacentral:rRNA from 14 species